CUGACGCUGGCGGCAUGCUCUACACAUUUCAACGUCGAACGGCAGCACGGGUGCUUGCACCUGGUGGCGAGUGGCGAACGGGAUAAUACAUCGGAACGUACCUUAUCGUGGGGGAUAACGCAGCGAAAGUUGCGCUAAUACCGCAUACGCCCUGAGGGGGAAAGCGGGGGACCGUAAGGCCUCGCGCGAUUAGAGCGGCCGAUGUCUGAUUAGCUUGUUGGUGAGGUAAAAGCUCACCAAGGCGAUGAUCAGUAGCUGGUCUGAGAGGACGAUCAGCCACACUGGGACUGAGACACGGCCCAGACUCCUACGGGAGGCAGCAGUGGGGAAUUUUGGACAAUGGGGGCAACCCUGAUCCAGCAAUGCCGCGUGAGUGAAGAAGGCCUUCGGGUUGUAAAGCUCUUUUGUCAGGGAAGAAACAGCAGCUCUAACACAGUCUGCGAAUGACGGUACCUGAAGAAUAAGCACCGGCUAACUACGUGCCAGCAGGCGCGGUAAUCCGUAGGGUGCGAGCCGUAAUCGGAAUUACUGAGCGUAAAGCGG
rnacentral:rRNA from 1 species